rnacentral:rRNA from 1 species
CAAUAGCGUAUAUUAAAGUUGUUGCGGUUAAAAAGCUCGUAGUUGGAUUUCUGCCGAGGACGACCGGUCCGCCCUCCGGGUGAGUAUCUGGUUUGGCCUGGGCAUCUUCUUGGAGAACGUAGCUGCACUUGACUGUGUGGUGCGGUGUCCAGGACUUUUACUUUGAGGAAAUUAGAGUGUUUCAAGCAGGCACACGCCUUGAAUACAUUAGCAUGGAAUAAUAAGAUAGGACCUCGGUUCUAUUUUGUUGGUUUCUAGAGCUGAGGUAAUGAUUAAUAGGGAUAGUUGGGGGCAUUCGUAUUUAACUGUCAGAGGUGAAACUCUUGGAUUUGUUAAAGACGGACUACUGCGAAAGCAUUUGCCAAGGAUGUUUUCAUUGA